rnacentral:rRNA from 1 species
UACGGAGGGUGCAAGCGUUAUCCGGAUUCACUGGGUUUAAAGGGUGCGUAGGAGGGCAGGUAAGUCAGUGGUGAAAUCCCCGAGCUUAACUUGGGAACUGCCGUUGAUACUAUCUGUCUUGAAUAUUGUGGAGGUAAGCGGAAUAUGUCAUGUAGCGGUGAAAUGCUUAGAUAUGACAUAGAACACCAAUUGCGAAGGCAGCUUGCUACACAACUAUUGACUCUGAUGCACGAAAGCGUGGGGGAUCAAACAGG